GAUUGGAUGAGAAGAGAAGAGAAUGUUCAAAGGUAAGAGAAAAGUAUUCUAGUUUAUUGAUUCUUGGAAAUAUGAACUAAAUGGCCAAAAAAAAAAUUGGUUGGAAGUUUCAAGUACGUCCUUUUCAUCGGCUGAAAGUAUGAACUCUUAAAUAACAAAGAGUUAAUUUUCCUCCUUUCGCUUCUCUCAUUUUCCCAUGUUUGUUCCUUCAAGAUCACAAUACUAUUUGGUGGUUUAAUUUUCUUUCUUUCCAACUCAACUCAACUCAACUAA
rnacentral:misc_RNA from 1 species